rnacentral:rRNA from 1 species
GACGAACGCUGGCGGCGUGCUUAACACAUGCAAGUCGAACGGAAAGGCCCUGCUUUUGUGGGGUGCUCGAGUGGCGAACGGGUGAGUAACACGUUAGUAACCUGCCCUUGACUUUGGGAUAACUUCAUGAAACUGGGGCUAAUACCGGAUAGGAGCUCCUGCUGCAUGGUGGGGGUUGGAAAGUUUCGGCGGUUGGGGAUGGACUCGCGGCUUAUCAGCUUGUUGGUGGGGUAGUGGCUUACCAAGGCUUUGACGGGUAGCCGGCCUGAGAGGGUGACCGGCCACAUUGGGACUGAGAUACGGCCCAGACUCCUACGGGAGGCAGCAGUGGGGAAUAUUGCACAAUGGGCGGAAGCAUGAUGCAGCAACGCCGCGUGCGGGAUGACGGCCUUCGGGUUGUAAACCGCUUUCGCCUGUGACGAAGCGUGAGUGACGGUAAUGGGUAAAGAAGCACCGGCUAACUACGUG